GCUGGGUGUGGCCAUGCAUGCCUGGAACCUCAGCUGCACUGGAGGCCGAGGCAGGAGGACUGCUUGAGCCCAGGGGCUCCAGGGCAACCUGGGCAGUAGACUAGGACCCCAUCUCUU
rnacentral:sRNA from 1 species